AUACUAGUGACGGUCUGGCAUUAUGGACCAAAGCCAUUUUAUUCAAUACCAAAGUUGACAGCUAAUACUGUUUUUUAGCAUUAGAUGCCGCUUUCAACUACUAACAAAUCCUACAUUAUACAGUAAAAGUGCACAGCCAUUGUUAGAUGAGAAGUUUAUUGUAUAUUUGUAUAUUAGAUAUUUCUUUUGCAGAUUUACAUAAUUACACCUUAUUAUGAAAACAGAAAGUAGCGUUGAUAGUGAGUGAUUUAUUUUGGGCUCUAGUUAGAUUAUUGAUCAAUUUAAAAAAUAAAUGACGGAUGAACGAAUGGCGAUCCACUGGACCGCAGUAUUUUACUCUGACUGAGCACCGACCACAUCCUUCGCUAUCUAAAUACAGCUGUCCAGGGCCGAAAAGUUUCAAUAAAACCGCUCUCAGAUAAAACGUCUUUGUUUAAACAGCCCUAAACAACUUCAACAUCUUCCAUUAUCGUUCAGUUCAAAUUUAAGUCCAUGUGGAAAUUCCUGUACAUGGUAACCACGGAAUUAAUUUGCAGGGAGAAACAGGAAAUACAAAAAAAGAUUGACUUGGUUUCUGACCAAUCAGAGCUAAUGUUGCCUUAUAAUUGGAGUCGCAGUCGCAGACUCGAGAUCUGAUUGGUUAUCGCCUGGCGACACAAGCCUGGUGAAAUAUGAUUGGAUAAAAACUUUACAAUAAUAUACAACGGUUGGAGCGGCGAAACAAAGCGGAUAUAAUAUGACGCGAAGAAAACAGACCAUGGCGAAUCAUUUUAUCUACAAAGAAAAUCUGACCAUGUUUAGGCUAGCAGAGAUCGCUUAGCUGCGUCUGAUUGCGGCCCCUUUGCGUGGUCACGCACGUCCGUGCACGUGCGUCAAAACCAUGGUAACCGGCGCUGAGUUAAUAAAAGAAGCGCAGCCGUGUGAUUUUACACAUUUGCCUCUGGUCUUGGAGACAUUGACAGCAAAACAAAAGUCUGUGACCACAUUAAUUUGUUUUGCAGAAGCAAUGGAGCGCCACUUGCCCCCGAGGAUCUGGGAGCUCUGGACACGGUUCAGACGGUGGAGCCGCGGAGGCAGACAGCGGUGGCAGCCGGAGGGGGAAGUUGCUGUGCACGGUCGUCCACCUAGGCGUUGGAGGACUCGCUUUGAGCGAGCCACUUCCCACGUUCAGGAAGUUGGGCCCCCCACCUCUGGCAUUGAGGUACCCCGCUUUGACCUGCCUUCUUACUUAGAUGUUCGACUUCCUCUUUACACUGAUCUCUUUCCUCCUCAUUCUCCUCCACGCUUUCCUGUUCCUUCUGCUAUUCCUUCCUCACCUCCUCCUCCCUAUUCUCCUCCACACUCUCCUGUUCCUUCUUCUGUUCCUUCCACACCCCCUCCUCCUUAUUCUCCUGUUCCUUCUCGCUCUUUUGCUGCUCCUCAUUCUCCUCCACGCUCUCCUGUUCGUCCUUCUUCUGUUCCUUCCACACCCCCUCCUCCUUAUUCUCCUGUUCCUUCUCGCUCUUUUGCUCCUCCUCAUUCUCCUCCACGCUCUCCUGUUCGUCCUUCUUCUGUUCCUUCCACACCCCCUCCUCCUUAUUCUCCUGUUCCCUCUUGCUCUCCGGCUCCUCCUCUUUCUCCUCCAUGCUCUUUUGCUCCUUCUUCUUCUAUUCCACCUUCACCCACUGCUCCUUCCCCUCUGGUUCCACCUAUUGUGGCUCCUUCUGAGCUGCCCUGUGUUCCCGAUGCUGGCCUUCCCCUGUCUCCUGUUAUUCAGGACUCAGGCUCCACAGUGGAAGGGACCAGUGAGGACUUAGCGGUUGGGGAAACCAACGAGGCUCCUAGCAGCGGCAGCAGCAGCAGCACACCUGGUAGAGGUAGGGAGGACAGUGAUGAGGAGGGGGCUGCUCCCAAAAGACCAUGUUUUACUGUGAGACACUGUGUCACACAGUAA
ensembl:lncRNA